UACGGGGGGGGCAAGCGUUGUUCGGAAUUACUGGGCGUAAAGGGCUCGUAGGCGGCCAACUAAGUCGGACGUGAAAUCCCUCGGCUUAACCGGGGAACUGCAUCCGAUACUGGAGGGCUUGAGUUUGGGAGAGGGAUGCGGAAUUCCGGGUGUAGCGGUGAAAUGCGUAGAUAUCCGGAGGAACACCGGUGGCGAAGGCGGCUUCCUGGACCGACACUGACGCUGAGGCGCGAAAGCUAGGGGAGCAAACGGG
rnacentral:rRNA from 1 species